rnacentral:rRNA from 1 species
UACGUAGGGUGCAAGCGUUACUCGGAAUUACUGGGCGUAAAGCGUGCGCAGGCGGUUUUGUAAGUCUGUCGUGAAAGCCCCGGGCUCAACCUGGGAAUUGCGAUGGAGACUGCAAGGCUUGAAUCUGGCAGAGGGGGGUAGAAUUCCACGUGUAGCAGUGAAAUGCGUAGAGAUGUGGAGGAACACCGAUGGCGAAGGCAGCUCCCUGGGUCAAGAUUGACGCUCAUGCACGAAAGCGUGGGGAGCAAACAGG